UUCACCUUUGAAGCUCUAAUGUACUAUCACCAGAUGGCUAGCACUGUUACCAGGCAUAUGAGCCUAGGAGUUCAUUUAUUUUUCUUGUAUGGAUUCAACUCAGGUGCCCAGGUAGUUGGUCAUAAAGUGUGUGGUACGGGCUCUGUCCUACAGUCUUAAAGGGGCAGGGGUCAUUGGUGUAGGCAGAAGUAUCUGGCUGCAGUAGGGGGUCAGGCUCUGAUCAAGGCAGGGGUCUGACAGCUGUGCUCUGAGUGUCUGUGAGGAAAGUGCAUCCCUGUUCUGUAGAGCACAUGGGUGGGUUCUGCAGAAGGGCAGUGGGUACCCAAUGCUUUUGGUUGUAAGUUCUGGGCGGUACUACUUAUCCUUGGAGCCCUAUCACAGGUGGCUAGGUAUUGUGGGUGGAGCCAGCAGUCCUUAUGCCCCUGAUGUGGGUAGGUGAAGACCCUGUUUAAUAGGCAAAGCAGUGUCAAACAUCAAAUACCCAUCUUUCCACCGUUCAGGUGAAACAGUUGCAGUCUGGCAACAAGGGCCUAUUCUCCUGAAAUGGGCCCACACAGGUCCAUGCUGGGGUGAAAGGUAUUCAAAGCCCAUGGACUGUUUGUGCCUGAACAAGAGCUGCUUCUGUCCUGAGCUCCCCAGCUUAAUUGAGCUGGCAGAUUAUCUUUCCCCCAGUUGUGAACUUAUACCUUCUUCAAGGAUGGAAAAAUGGCUCAGAGUGGUACCAGGGCCUAUCUCAGGCCCAGGGAAGUUGACAGCCACUGAAGCCGGCUUGGGGGCUGGGGGCGUGGUAAAAUAAACACAAGUAAUUAGCUUUUGCUGAGAGUGCCGUUCUUCUCUUGUUCUGGAGGUGUGAGUAGUCUGUGCAACUUGCUGUCCUUCCCUGAGCUAAACGCCUGUGGAACGCCACUGCCAGCCCCACUGCAGUCGCUCCAGGGAACGGUGCCUGAGGGUUCCUGGCUAUUCAGGUCCAGUAACUCCUCUCCACUUCUGAAUAGUCUCUCCCUCCCCCUGCCGCUGAGUCCAUUUUCUAACUUUACCUUUGAUGUUCAGGGCUCCUAGCUUCUCAUAAAUAUAAUCGCUUCACUUGUUUUUUCUGGUCUUUUUUGUAAGAGGGAUCACUGGUGGCGUCUCAAUACUCAAAACUUCAUCAUUUCUUCCUUUCACUUUAGCUACUCGACAUUCAAGAGCAACGUUCAGAGUCUCUUCCGACAUCCGUUUUGGUCUUUUCUUUCUUUCCUGUCUUUUAAAGGAUCUCUUGCUUUCUUCAUGUGUGAUGUCCUUGAUGUCAUUCCACAACUCGUCUGGUCUUCAGUCGUUAGUGUUCAACACGUAAAAUGUGUUCUUGAGGUGGUCUCUAAAUACAGGUGAGAUAUACUCAAGGUCAUAUUUUGGCCCCUUUUGACUUAUUCUAAUUUUCUUCAGUUUCAACUUGAACUCCCAUAUGAGCAAUUGACAGUCUGUUUCACAAUUGAUCCCUGGCCUUGUUCUGACUGAUGAUAUGAGUUUUCCCAUCUUCUCUUUCCACAGAUGUAGUCAGUUUGAUUCCUGUGUAUUCCAUCUGGUAAAGUCCACGUGUAUAGCUGCCGUUUAUGUUGGUGAAAAAAAAUAUUUGCAGUGGAUGAGUCACUGGUCUUGCAGAAUUCUUUCAUGAGAUUUCUGGUGUCAUUUAUUUCAUCGAUGCUGUAUUUUCCAACUACUUUUCCUUCUUUGUUUCCAACUUUAACAUUCUAAUGACCAGUAAUUAUCAAUGCAUCUUGAUUGCAUGUUUGAUCAAUUUCAGGCUGCAGAAGUUGUUUAAAAUCUUCAAUUUCUUUAUCUUUGGCAUUAGUGGUUGGUGCAUCAAUUUGAAUAGUCGUAUAAACUAGUCUUCCUUGUAAGUGUAUGGAUUUUAGCCUAUUAGUGACAACAUUGUACUUCAGGCUAGAUCUUGAAAUGUUCUCUUUGAUGAUAUGUAACGUCAUUCUUUUGACUCUAGUGGAAUAUCCAUGUUUGUAAGACUGCUCACAGACUGUUUCACCAGAGAGUUUUCUGGUACUGCAACAUCUACCACUAAUCUCUGUGAUCCCUGUGAAUUGGCAAAAUAAGAAUAGUGCUAUAGAUUUCUUCCAAAUACAGAAAACAUAAGUAUGAAAAUGUUCUUGCUGUUGAUUAUAUUCUUUACCAAUCUGUUUGUGUGGGAUUUUUGGUACUUCACUUGAAAAAUGAGUCCAAGGUACUGUGAUGUGAUUGUUUACUUUGUGUGGCCUUUCUAGCCAUGGUCUUAUAACAUCCACCCUGGUGCUUGGGCAGGACUGUGUGAUAGGGUAAUUGUGGCUCACCAAGGGGAUUGUUUAUUUUCCCUUCAAAGAGAACCAGUUCCAGAGCAAAGAGGAGGAUUCAACUCCCAUCAAGGAAGAACAGCCAAGAGCCGAGCGUAUAUUAUGGACCUGAGAUCCCUGCACUGAGAAGCUCCUAGAAGCAAGAGACUGAGAUAGAGAGAGGAAGCUGUAACCCUGAAGAUGCUUAAAUACAGACCAGAAGAGGAGUUUGGGGCUUGACACCUGACAUCUUAACACCAGUUCCUGUUUCUUGAGGAAGGAAGAGGUAAAAUAAAUCAGCGUUUACUGUUUCCUUCUCCAUCCCCGGAAGUCCUGAUGAAGACCCUCUCAGCUUCAACUUGAACGUGAAUAUGAGCAACUGAUCAUCUGUUCUGCAGUCAGCCCCUGGCCUGAUUCUGACUCAUGAUAUUGACCAAGUGAAGAGUGAUUCAGAGAAAAACAUGGGUAGAGUGUGACCUAAUUUCCAUAAAAACAAAGAAAUGAAUGUACUUACAUGUGUCCCGGCAAAAAGAAGUGUGUAAAAGGGUACAUAUGUAUCUUUGGACACUGGACACUUCAGGGGAGCAGGUACAAUAUACUUAUGUGGGGAUGGCUCUUAUUAAAACUUCUAUAUACAAAUCUCUAUUGUUAAAUGUGUUAUAAGAAUGUAAAAGCUUUUAAAGUUUAAUAACAUCAUACGUGUAUGUGUGUGUAUUUGAAACUUUUUUUUUUUUUUACUAUUUUAUAUAUGUGUUUUUUAGUUAUCUAGUUUUUUUUUUAGUGUGGCUAUAGCAGAGAUACCACAAGUGGAUGGCUUUAACAAACAGAAACUUAUUCUCUCACAGUUUAAGAAGCAACAAGUUUGAAGUCAGGGCACCAGGUCUAGGAGAAAGCUUUCUCUCUUUGUGGCUCUGGGGGAAGGUCCUUGUCAUCUAUCUUCCCCUGGCCUAGGAAAUUCUCAGCGUGUGGACACUGGGUCAAAAAGACGUGCUCCACUCCAGACACUUCUUCCUUGGUGGUAUGAGGUCCCUCUCAUUUCCGCUCACUCUUCUCUUUGUAUCUCAAAAGAGACUGACUCAAGACUCACCCUAAUCCUGUAGAUUGUGUCCUCCCUCAUUAACCUAACUGUCUCUAAUCCCGCCUUAUUAACAUCACAGAGGUUAGAAUUUACAACACAUAAGUAAUUACAUCAGAUCACAAAAUGCAGGACAACCACACAAUACUGGGAAUCAUGGUCUGGCCAGGUGGGCACACAUUUGGGGGGACACUAUUCAAUCCAUAACAAUAGAGAAAACACUGUCUUCAAUGCCAGAUUCAGAGACUUUUAUCCAUCUAUGAAGGGCAAACACAGAAAUUGAACAAAAUUCAGACCAGCGAAUUAUUGCUUGCUCUUGUAACUAAUGACUUCUUCUGGUCUCUGUACCUGGAAAUGGCCAAAACGAAUUCUGUGAGGAUUAAUUCAGUUAUUGCUAAAACAUCUACUGCAUUUACAUGUCUACAGAUAAGGAAGAAUGCUGGACACCAUGUGUGAUUCAUUAAGUAACACAGGGACUAUUAGACUGUUGUUCUCCUUCUCUGAUAUGCCACUAUCACCUUCUCCCCUUGUUGCUCUCCUGAAAAACCCACACUUGUAUAUUCUAGGCUUUUUUCCAGGAUUGAAUUUGCAGGAAGUUGAAGAUAUAUCUUUGAAAGAUAAAAAAGACUUUGGCCACAUUGUCUUUAGACAGUCAAACUUCCCAGCCAGCCUCUGUGCAGGAUGGGAAUUCACAAUCCCUCCUACUCAGUACCUCUGAGCAGGACAGGAUUUCUGUUUCAUUAUCAGGAGACUGUGGAAUUCACCCCUCUUCAGAAAACUUACUUUCCUUUGCCUCAAACUGUCCCUCUCAGGAUCUGUCACGGUCACUCUGAGAAAUUCACAUGGGCAGCCUGUAUGGAAGUGCCCAUCCUAGAGACCCUGCCCUCCCUUCCUUGCUCCGUAGGGCUUCCUCUGACACUUGGGGUCACAUCUCCCAGGGAGUACAUACCUCUGGCACUUCCAGGGAUUCCCAGGCCCUGGGAUACUGUGGAUGGGACUUGGAACUCAAUCUCUUUCUUCCCAUCCUCACCUUUGGUUAUCUGUGUUCUGUCUUCACCAGAUUUAGGAGGCCUUGUCUUCUCUUUGCUCAUUUCAUUUCAGUCAGGCUUUUCUAUUCCAACUCUCUGAUCUCAGGACAGAUCAGGUUAGACCACAGAAAAGAGAAAGACCAAGCAAACAUCACUGAUCUGUGCAGAAGCUGCUGGGAAGGGAUUCGAUUCUCAUUGGUUUAGGGUUUUAUGCCCACUGCUCACCGGCAGGCAGGUUCCCCCCAGAGUCUGGGUUCUGUCUGGUACCUUGUACUACAAAGAACUCAGUGACCAGCCCACCUUCACAAUCACACCUCCCUUAGAGCUACCUUUGCAGAGGCUCUUUCUCAGACUUCCAUGUCCCACUGAAAUCCCAUUUCUCUUCCCUUACAAACAUUGUGCUCAUUCUCAGGGCCCCGAGACCUUAUCUGCAGGUGAGUCUUGUCCUCUUCUCUCCUUGGCUUUUGAGUGGACCUCAUGUCUUCAGACAGCUAUC